GACGUAGGUGGCGAACGUUAUCCGGAAUUAUUGGGCGUAAAGGGUGCGUAGGCGGCAUGAUAAGUUAUUGGCGGCAAAUCGAGGCUCAACCUCGUGGAAACUGAUAAUACUGUCUUGCUUGAGUGCAGAAGAGGUUAACGGAACUCCAUGUGGAGCGGUAAAAUGUGUAGAUAUAUGGAAGAACAUCAAUAACGGCGAAGGCAGUUAACUAUUCUGUUACUGACGUUGAGGCACGAAAGCGUGGGGAGCAAACAGG
rnacentral:rRNA from 1 species